UCCUCGGAGCCUGCCCCGCGCUCCCGCCUCCGGCUUCCAUCCACGCACGGGAGCUGCUGCGCUGGAAAACCAAGCACCUACCAUUGAACUGGGCGAAGGGACAGCUCGGGGCUGAGGCACAGGGCGUGUGGGUGAGAGAGAGCAAUAAAAGACACGUAGAUGGGAGGAAAUGGUGCUGGGUCUGGUCAGCAGAGUGCAUUUGCCCUUCUAAAUCCAGGCUGGAGUGUGGGCUUGUAAUACAUAACCUUUGUUACUUAGAUGGGUCCGAGAGCUGCCUGUGAUGAGACGAGACCCAGCGGUAGGUCAGCUUUGAGCAGGUUGUGACAGCUAAAGAGCCCGGCUAAAGCCGUGGGUUCAAAUUACAAAACUGCUCGUUCCGAAAACAGGAGAGAGCAGAGGGGGAAAGAACGAGUAGCAAAACCAUUGAGAUAUUUUCACAGCAGCUUUUCUCAUUAUUGUUCUUGUCCUCUGCAUCUAAUCACUCCAAACAAGUCUAUUUACAGUCUUUUCUUUAGUUUCCUGUUGGGCCCUUUCCAACCAUCAUCCACCUUUCCAUUCCACUGAACAGGGUGUUGCAGCUACAACACACACGGACUGGCGGGUGCUCCCUGUACCUUGGCACAUGCACCAUGGGUGACAUCAACAGCCUGCGUGGUUCUCACACCUGUCCUGCAGUGCCUCGCACAGCGUGCCCUCCUCUCCUGCCCUGCAUGACAGGCUUUCUGACUUGCUGCCUUGGGUGACCAUUCACAAGGCUAUUACUUGCUUCAGUCAGCUGAGAGCACACACUGGGUUUGACUGAAAGUGCUUCUAUUCAGAAAAUCCCAGCUGGGGACAGGAGGAUGGCCAGUUCGUUUCCAGGGUAGGAAAGAAACUCAAACACUUCCUACUAGUACAGCUUGAAGGAUGAACAUACUGGAUACUGAACAUAAAAGCUGAGUACAGAGCUGCUGGAAACUCCUUUUGCCUGAGCCCACAGCAUCCAAAGCCCAGGAGCUCAUCCAAGUGCCAGGCUGUGAGCUGUGAACUAGAUUGGCUCAUCCUUCAGUGCUGUGUAACUCCCUGCUCUUCUCUCCCCAUGGCCUUACUCUGCUGCCCAGAUGCUACACUGACACCUAGAAGGGCGUUUUGAGGAGUCAUGAGCAAGUCCACACAGGCAAGACACAGACGGAGGUGGCAUGGGCUCAGAUGGCUCCGAUGGCUUGGGCUGGGAACCUCAGCCUCGACUGUAAAUGUCAGCACCUUAUCCAGGCUGAUUUA